AUAGGGUUUACAAGCUUGGUUCUAGUCCUUCAUCACUCAUCAGCAAGCUUGGUUGAACUACAUGGAUCUGUUUGGCAGGCCUUUGAAUUCCCCUUCAUUAGUAUACUCAUUUAAUAUUUGAUUAGAGUUAAAUUUGUGGGUUGUUCUUUGCUGUUUUGGUUAUUCUUCCUAGGUUUGAUCCAAUAUUGGGGUUCAUUAACCUAAUGCUAAGAGGUUUCCAUUUAGAGCAGCCCAGUCAGUUUCCAUGAGGAUCAUUAGUGGCCUUGUCAAGCUUGGUUUUAUUCCUUCCAAAAAAAAUUUACUUGAAUUUUGGUUUGAUUUCCCAAAAUUUCUGCACUCUUUUACUGUAUAUAUUAUUAAGUAAAAUCCUAAUUCUUUUGCAUAAUUUCAGGUCUAGAUGUGCUGUGUUAGGGGGGUCAGUUCAGGACAUCUAUCAAUUGUCAAAAUUUUGGUUUGGUUGUGUUUUUUUUUUUGGGUGCUUUUGUCCUUUCCCCUUCACUAGUAGAGUAGACUAUCAUUGUUUGUUUACUCUUAACUUUUUGAGGUUUCUUUGCUCUUGAUGUUCUUUCUAGGUUUAAUCCAAGGUUGUGUGGUUGAUUAACCUAGUUCCUAGAGGAGAGAGCCAGUCCAUUCAGAGUUGUAUGAUGAUCAUUAGUGGUGUGCAUUGAGUUCAGUUUGAUGCAUGAAUGCCUGGUUAUCUCUCAUACAUCAAAUAAUCAGUUAAACUUGGGGGGUGCACAAUGGACUGCAGCAGUGGGUCAUUGACCUAUUUGGUUUGGAAGUGUUUUGUCGAACUUCUCUGAUUUUUCAAUGCAAUCAUUCUCAUAGUUCUUCCCAACUUUGAUGAAUUUUGUAAUAUUGUGGCUCACAGGUUAGCAAGAGAUCUAACAAACGUAAUCUGGAUAUGUUCUUAUUGAGUGGAUAGAUCGGUUUGAUCAUUAAGCGUUCAGUUAUCCUAUUCUUGGUUUUCUGGAAAUGUUGAGUUUAUAUUGAUCGCUGGCUUUCAAUUUCUCUUUCCGAUUAUGUAUUGCUGGUUUGUCUGUCAUUGCUUGAUGUAGUUUGUAUUACGGAUUCGGUUUCAGCAUCAAGCUUUUGGGUUGAACGACGUGGAUUGGUUUGACAAGCUUUGGUUCUAUUCGUUCAUCACUCAUCAGCAUGCUUGGUUGAAUGAUGUGUAUCGGUUUGAUCCAAUAUUGGGGUUCAUUUAUCUAAUGCUAAGACGUUCCAUGUAGAGCACCCGUGUGAUGAUCAUUAGUGGUUUUAUCUAGUCUAGAUGUAUUGUGUUCGAAGGGUCGGAUAUGGACAACUUCCAUUUGUGAAAACUUUGGUUUAAUCCAAGAUUGUGUGGCUGAUUAACAUAUUUCGUAGAGGCAGCAUAUAGAUCCUUUCUCCAUGGAGUCCUUUGAUUAUCAUUAGUGACGUGCCUUGUUUAUCCAAAGUUCAGUUUGAUGCAUCAAUGCCCGGUUAUCUCUCAUUCAUCAAAUAAUCAGUGAAAUAUUUGUACCUUUGGCCAUAUUAAUGCUCGGGUUUGUUUCUGGCUUGAUGUUCUUUUGAGGUGUAGUUCAACUUGUGGGUGCUCAAUGGACUGCAGCGGGGGGUCAUUGACCUAUUUGGUUUGGAAGUGUUUUGUCAAACUUAUCUGAUUUUUCAAUGCACUCAAUUCUCAUAGUUCUUCCCAGCUUUGUUGAAUUUUGUAAUAUUGUGGCUCACAGGUUAGGAAGAGGUGUAACGAUCGUAAUCUGGAUAUGUUCUUGUUGAGCGGAUAGAUCGGUUUGAUUAUUAAGCGUUCAGUUAUCCUAUUCUUGGUUUUCUGGAAAUUUUGAGUUUAUAUUGAUCGGUGGCCUUUCAAUUUCUCUUUCCGAUUAUGUAUUGCUGGUUUGUCUGCCAUUGCUUGAUGUAGUUUGGAUCACGGAUUCGGUUUCAGCAUCAAGCUAUUGGGUUGAACGACGUUGAUUGGUUUGACAAGCUUGUUUCUAUCCCUUCAUCACUCAUCAGCAUGCUUGGUUGAAUGAUGUGGAUUGGUCUAGAUGUAUUGUGUUGGAAGGGUCAGAGGUCUUGAGACAAUUCAUAUAUAGAGUAACCAACUACUGGGUGUUUAAUAGAAUAAUGCGUCCUCUUGCCUGUACUAUGUCUGAAGCUUGUUGUAGGGAGCAUGUAUGUGCCUUUUUCCUCAAUACUUCUGGUAGAUAUGCUGGUCCUCUUGCCUGUAGUAUGUCUGAAGCUUGUUAUUGGGAGCAUUUAUCUGCUUCCCUCAAUACUUGUGGUGGAUAUGCUGGAGUUAGUGACUGAUAUUCUUUCUUUCCAACCAUUUGAGAUUUAGCAGUGGAUAUUCUUUCUGGCAUCUGAAUUGGAUACUUUGUGUCAUUUGAGUUGAUGGGGGAACCUUUCCUUUACUGAUGACAAUGGAUUGCAGCGUGUGCUGAUUAACCUUUCUAUGGUUUUUUUGUCACUUGUUCUCUGCCCUCCUAUUUGAUGACUGCUUUCUAGAGAAAAGUUUUACCUUUGUGAAGACUGCCUUCUCUGAUAAUUUGAAGUACGAAGAUAGCUUUGUUUAAUUGAUGAUUGCCUGUCAACAAGCUUUAAGUUGUUUAUGAUUUCUCGUUGUGAAGAAUGCUCAUAAAGAGAACAUGAUAAACUUCAUUUAUUUUAGAAAGGAACAUCGAAGAUAUAGACCCUUGGACUGCUUCAUGUCUGCUAGAAGUGGUUGUUUGUUCUUACCCUCCUACUUGGACUGCUUUUAGAGGAUGAUCUCUCUUUUGUGAAGGCUUCUUUAGCUGAUCUUUGAUGUUGAAAAACUUACUGAUUUAGGGAAAUGCUCCAAGUAGAUUAAUCUUCCUUACGGAUAUUAUGUCUAGUCAUUUCCAAGGGGUUCAUUGAAUAUUCAUUUUGGGUGGCUUAUGAAGCAGCCAUGUGAUAAUUGCUAGUUUUGUUCA